rnacentral:lncRNA from 1 species
AGGGGCUGGCUGGAUUGCUGUUGGUUUUUCCCCUCCUGGUGGCUUUGCUUGGUUUGGGUUUAGUUUGGGAACAAACUUGUUUUAUAUCAACACUUCCUUCUACAUCGGGCGCCGUCGCCUCAACUGCGCGUGGGGGGCGAGGCGCCCACCCCGCACAAGAACAGAGGAGCGGGGGAGAAGAGACGGCCUCGCUGCUCACUGGGCCCCUUUGUGUGACUAAAUUUGGCAAGAAUAUGGAUCUGAGCCAGUCUUUCCACGUGUGCUCCCAGCUCCCAGCUGAGAAGGCCAAGGGUUCUCUUCCGGAUGCAGCCUUUUUGAAAUUUAUUCUUGGCCAAAAGAGGAAGAUAGUUCAAGGAUUCUAUCUUGCUUUUGGGGGGCAAUGGAGAAACCCUGAAAACACUUAAGGAAAACCUGAGGCCUUCUAUAAGAAAAUAAACUCCCUGAAAGGGGAGGCAGGGCCAAGGAAUUUACUUAUUUUUAUAAAUCUCUUUCCUGGGUGGAUAUGUGCUCCAGGAAAGUACCUGAUUGACAAGAUCUACAUCCAAUGCCCAGAAAACACAUCCUACACAGGCACAGUGAAGCGUGGAGUUGAAGAAUUUUCCAGAAAACCAGUUUGGCUAUUAAGGGAACCUGUCGACACAGAGCAGAGCAAGAUAAGGCCAGGUUUCAGAAAGAAUAGCUGUUUACCAUCAAAGCAACUGGGUUCCACACAGACAUGGUAUAUUAUACACAAAGACGAAGGAUAUGGGUCCACUCUCCGUCAAGGAAUGUUAUAAAUCCACGUGGUGUCCCUGGGUGUCAGGCUUGGCCAGAACAUCUGUGGCUGGAGAAGCCAAUGUGGCUCAGGAGCUCCCUGCUGGCUGCACAUCUGAACGGCUUCAGGAGUACAAGUUUCCCCAUCAAAGGUUUGGAAUAAAUUACACUAAAAAAUUGGCUCCAGAACGAGUUAUUUUGGACAGGACAAGGUGAAGCUCUCAUGAGGUGUGUUAAAUGCAUCCCUCUGUGCAGUGGGCAACUGCGGGAGAGCUGGAGGGGGUGGUCAAAGGCUGUGGGGAAAGUGGAGAAACUCUAACCCUGCACACACUUGGACAGAAAUGCCAAAUCUACUGACUGGACAAGAUUUGGGAAAUUCAUUUUUUAAACAAAUGGUUUUACAAAGCUUUAUAACUUAAUUUGAAUAUAUAUCUUAUAAAUAGUCAUC